CGCAGACCGGGUUGGUGGGGACGCCCCGAGCGGAGCGGAGCGGCGGUGCCGCACCUGUUGACACGGUGGACAAAGUUGUGUUUGUCGUGUCCAGCAGAGCAAACCUGACAACACGUCCUUCACUAAGGCUGCGCAAGUCUGAGCUGGACCAGAGAGAGGAACCAGACCAAGGAUGCCUUUCCGAGGGGAGCUCCUUGCCGGCCCUUCCUAAUAGAAAGAACUGCAGUUUCAGCUGACAGUGAGUCAUACGAGAGGCAGUCAUGGGACCAGGGAGGCCCCAUCUGAGAGCGUUGGCUGUGGUUAUGAUGUCCUGCCUUUUCUAUAUCAGUGAAAGCGCGAGGCCAGAGGUGCGUGGAAAAGUGGGGGGUGUGGUGGAGCUGGAGUGUGGCGUGCCUCCCCCAGACCCAGCGGGGUCCUCCUCUCUGCAUGUGGUCGAAUGGGUGCGACAGGGAAUCGACAUCCCCGUGCUGAUCAAAUUUGGGGCGUACGCGCCACGUGUGCAUCCAAAU